rnacentral:rRNA from 1 species
CUCCUGGAAACGGGUGGUAAUGCCGGAUGCUCCGCCCCCUCGCAUGGGGGGUCGGGAAGGCUUUUGCGGAAUGGGAUGGGGUCGCGUCCUAUCAGCUUGUUGGCGGGGCGACGGCCCACCAAGGCUUCGACGGGUAGCCGGCCUGAGAGGGCGACCGGCCACAUUGGGACUGAGAUACGGCCCAGACUCCUACGGGAGGCAGCAGUGGGGAAUAUUGCACAAUGGGGGGAACCCUGAUGCAGCGACGCCGCGUGCGGGAUGGAGGCCUUCGGGUCGUGAACCGCUUUUGAUUGGGAGCAAGCGUGAGUGAGUGUACCUUUCGAAUAAGCACCGGCUAACUACGUGCCAGCAGCCGCGGUAAUACGUAGGGUGCAAGCGUUGUCCGGAAUCAUUGGGCGUAAAGGGCUCGUAGGCGGUUCGUCGCGUCCGGUGUGAAAGCCCAUCGCUUAACGGUGGGUCUGCGCCGGGUACGGGCGGGCUUGAGUGCGGCAGGGGAGGCUGGAAUUCCCGGUGUAGCGGUGGAAUGUGUAGAUAUCGGGAAGAACACC